rnacentral:rRNA from 1 species
AAUUGAAUUUAACUUUUAAGUAAAAAGGCUUAAAUAAAUUAAAGUGACGAUAAGACCCUAUAAAACUUAAUAAUUUAGACUAUAAAAGUAAAUUAGUUAUUUAAAAUUUUUUUAGUUGAUGUUAUUUUAUUGGGGCGAUAAAAAUAAAAAUAGUAACUGUUUUAAAGAUUUAAAUAAUUAUUUUUAGUAUAAUUAAAUGAUCCUUUUUUAGAGAUUAUAAGAUUAAGUUACUUUAGGGAUAACAGCGUAAUUUUCUUUGAAAGUUCUUAUUAACAAGAGAGAUUGCGACCUCGAUGUUGAAUUAAAAAUUCUUUAAGGUGUA